rnacentral:rRNA from 1 species
UACGGGGGGGGCAAGCGUUGUUCGGAAUUACUGGGCGUAAAGGGCUCGUAGGCGGCCAACUAAGUCAAACGUGAAAUCCCUCGGCUUAACCGGGGAACUGCGCUUGAUACUGGAUGGCUUGAGAUUGGGAGAGGGAUGCGGAAUUCCAGGUGUAGCGGUGAAAUGCGCAGAUAUCAGGAGGAACACCAAUGGCGAAGGCAGCUCGCUGGGACGUGACUGACGCUGAGACGCGAAAGCGUGGGGAGCAAACAGG